rnacentral:rRNA from 1 species
CUUGCACCCUCGUGCCUCUUCCUAGGAUGCACCCCCCAAUCUCCCCACCCCUCCCAUUCUCAUUUCCAUGUGGUCGCAGCUGGUCUCCUCUACCACUCCCAUUUUGCACCCCAUGCCGCCGGAACGACCACCACCUCAGGGCACUGUCGCUUCUCAGCUUCUCCCCUGGUGGCAACGCAACAACUGUUCCGCGGGCUGUUGCGGCACCGGCGGCUUAUGCUGGUUCUGGGUACGGGCGUCGCCGCCUUCGCCUAUGUUCCACCAACGACUAUCUGGUGCGCCGGCGUUGUCCCCUCUGGGUGUGCCGAUCUGAACGAAAGGCAACACGUCGGGGAAGCGGCGGCUUUCACUUCCGCCGACAAAACCUUAUCGGUUGAGGGGCGACGGCUCAACAACGGCACGAUCUAUUUCGACCAGGCAGUAGGAUGAUGAAAUCCCUUGCACUCAUGCUUCUAAGAUUGAUUUGGUUUUCUUUCACGCGUGUUUCUGUUUUGCAGGAGAGGAUGAGACAAAAGGCAGCUGGAGUUAGUGCGCAUGUCCUGGGAACAUCAGGAUCCACCUCCCAUUUGAGAUGGCGCUCUAGAUAGGCAUCCUAUAUAUGUCACAUCUCGGCAGUCAAGGAUCACUGAGAUGGACAUUGUGAGGAAUCCUCGAGGGCACUAGCAAAACAAGGAAACACUAAUGUCAAAUUUGAUAAUCAGAGGAUUAGCUAGAUAUCAAGAUGGAAAUAGAACAAAGGAACCGAUGCACUACUAUCUCUGUCUUGAGGUAACACUGGCUGUUAAUUAUUUACGAGAAGUUUAGUUUUUUCUCUCCUCUCAGGAUAUGUAGUUUCACUUUUCCUCUUUCAUGGAUGAUCACCUCAUUUAUUUUCACAGACGGAAUGAUGGAGCUAUUGCUCUGACUUGGAGAUAAAUUAAGUUAGGCCAUGUCCAACGUGGGUGUCAGCUUUAGCUUCCAGGUCGACGACGCUUAUUUUUCUUUUCUCGGUGCCUAACUAGUCGUGUAUUGUCAUGGGAUGGUUGGCGCGGAUAUGGCCAUAGUUGUAGUUUGUUGAUUGCGGAUUUGAUCACUUCGAGUUCUUUUUCUUUUUCCUUACAUAGGGAUGGCUUUGGUCUUAUAUGACUUUGCUAUUCGCCAACGUGUUUUUGUGUGUGUGCGUUUGUGUUGGUUGUGUGCAUCUUAGUUAUGCAGAGGCCGGGUGUGUGCGCAUUGUGUUUGUAUCAUCUUGAUGUUUUAUUUUUAGUCAAUAAAUCCUCCCUUUGUCGGAAUUAGUCGUCAGGUGUGAGCUAUAUUCUACGGUGAGGGAUGAUUUUUUUUCAUCGCACAAGUACCUCCAAAGUUGGACUCCUAGACCUGCAAGCGCAUGCAACCUGGUGUCGCUGACGCAGCUGCACCCUCUUGUGGGCGUCGACAUCCGCUUCGGCCCCUCCGGCUGCGGUUAUGAUGGAGGUUAAAUAGACCUAGAGGUAGAUGGAGGUGAAGCCUGUGGUGUCUUCUAUGCAAACACUCCCAUUGCCAAUGUAGGACUAGACAAGACGAAGCUAACAAGGCACACGAAGUGCGACACGUGUUGUAGAAAAUGUUGGAAUCGUUAGGGAGCAAUAGCAGCAGGGGGAACCAAAUUUACUACAGAUCAGCAAAUGCGGGGACUUACUUCCGUGUUGUACUGCGCGCCUGCACCGGCAUACACUUACUUCAUGUUAUUCUGAGAUUGUUCUCUGGUACAACUAUUUCUCUUGGACGAGAGCCCUGUACUUAGCCUUCCUAUGGAUUUGCCCUUCUAUUUGAGGGCUAUCUGUGGGAAAUCGUAUGACUCAUUUGUUUUAUAAUUAUCCAUAUGGAAAUUCAAGAACAAUUGUUCUGACCAAA